CCGCCGUAGUUUCUAAACUUCAUCUCUCAGUAGGGACUGAGGACUUGUGAUGAUUGCACUAAAUGAGAAAUUACGUAAGAAUAAGUUUAUAGGUUUUUCCAGUGUUACACUCCUUUGGUGGCGAAUUUGGACGAAGCCCAUCUGCCUGUGGUCUGUCGGAAGAGGUGGAACUGCUGUCGAGGAAAAAGUGCACAUUCGGUGAUUGAUGAACUCUAAAUAAAACCCCACUGACAACUGUA